rnacentral:tRNA from 1 species
AGGUACUUAGGUUAUUACACAAACCAGGGACCUUCAAAGCCCCAAAAAGUGGUUUACCACUAGAACCUG